rnacentral:lncRNA from 1 species
CGAAAAAGCAUUGAUUUAUGAUAAUCUGUUCAAUCAUACAGAACUGAAUAUUAUGCAACCAAUGUUAAGUUUUCGUCCAAGUAAAGUGGUUUUUAUACAUUUUCAAAUACAAUAUAGUGGUAACUUUUGAAUGAAAACGUAAACUAUUUAUAAUGUACACAAAAAGAUAGCAUUAAAAGUAAAAUCAUCUUCAUUUCAAGUGCUCUGUAAACGCUUCACAUCUGAUAUUGAAAACGAUGUCUUGCUAUGCACAGUGUAAACGGGCGCUAGAUUUAGUAGAUAUAAAACAUUUUCAUUUGAACGAGUUAACUGAAUUUUAGAAAACGCAUGUAAUUCAAAAGUGUAGCAAUUCAGAUAUUGCAGCAUAGAGUACCAGGUAAAGGUUCAUAUAUAUAUAUAUAUAUAUAUAUAAGGAGAUUUUGUAUGAUUGAAAAUUAGACAGCUAUCCACUAAAGUUCAAAUAAAGUAGAUGAUAGUAGUUUAAGGUAACUACACGGCCUAAAGACUGGUGGACAAAAGUCUUUUGAUAAGUUGAGUUCAACAAAUAUGUUGCUCAGUCAUAAAUAAUCCCGAUGACCAGGAAAACCAACAAAAACAAAUUUACUACCUUUUAUUUUAAGGCUAGUUGAAAAUGUCAAAAUCGUGGGAAAUUAUAGUUAAAGAUGUUUUUAAAGAUUUUAAAUAUGAUUGAUAUUAAGUUUCAUAGUUGGGAAAUACACAAGGAAGUGUUGGUAGGACAAAAGGUUUAUUAUUUCCAAUAAAAAGUUGGUCAAACUUUACAGGUCAUGAACUAAUUAUAACGUGUAAAAUAAACUAAAUCACAUUUGUUAAAAGGGAAUUAUAAAGACGGAUAUAAAUCGAGGAAUAUGACUUUGAAAAUAUUUAUGUGGAUAAAACAAUGCAAGCCAUACAUUUAACAUAAUUUUCACAAGGCCUUGGCUGUUAUGUUAG